GAUGAACGCUGACAGAAUGCUUAACACAUGCAAGUCAACUUGAACUUCGGUUUGGGUGGCGGACGGGUGAGUAACGCGUAAAGAACUUGCCUCACAGCUAGGGACAACAUUUGGAAACGAAUGCUAAUACCUGAUAUUAUGAUUUUAGGGCAUCCUAGAAUUAUGAAAGCUAUAUGCGCUGUGAGAGAGCUUUGCGUCCCAUUAGCUAGUUGGAGAGGUAACGGCUCACCAAGGCGAUGAUGGGUAGCCGGCCUGAGAGGGUGAACGGCCACAAGGGGACUGAGACACGGCCCUUACUCCUACGGGAGGCAGCAGUGGGGAAUAUUGGGCAAUGGACCAAGAGUCUGAUCCAGCAAUUCUGUGUGCACGAUGAAGUUUUUCGGAAUGUAAAGUGCUUUCAGUUGGGAAGAAAAAAAUGACGGUACCAACAGAAGAAGUGACGGCUAAAUACGUG
rnacentral:rRNA from 1 species